rnacentral:rRNA from 1 species
GCGUGCUUAACACAUGCAAGUCGAACGAGAAGAUAUGAGAAGCUUGCUUCUUAUUAAUUCGAGUGGCAAACGGGUGAGUAACGCGUAAGCAACCUGCCCUUCAGAUGGGGACAACAGCUGGAAACGGCUGCUAAUACCGAAUACGUUCUUUUUGUCGCAUGGCAGAGAGAAGAAAGGGAGGCUCUUCGGAGCUUUCGCUGAAGGAGGGGCUUGCGUCUGAUUAGCUAGUUGGAGGGGUAACGGCCCACCAAGGCGACGAUCAGUAGCCGGUCUGAGAGGAUGAACGGCCACAUUGGGACUGAGACACGGCCCAGACUCCUACGGGAGGCAGCAGUGGGGAAUCUUCCGCAAUGGACGAAAGUCUGACGGAGCAACGCCGCGUGAACGAUGACGGCCUUCGGGUUGUAAAGUUCUGUUAUACGGGACGAAUGGCGUAGCGGUCAAUACCCGUUACGAGUGACGGUACCGUAAGAGAAAGCCACGGCUAACUACGUGCCAGCAGCCGCGGUAAUACGUAGGUGGCAAGCGUUGUCCGGAAUUAUUGGGCGUAAAGGGCGCGCAGGCGGCGUCGUAAGUCGGUCUUAAAAGUGCGGGGCUUAACCCCGUGAGGGGACCGAAACUGCGAUGCUAGAGUAUCGGAGAGGAAAGCGGAAUUCCUAGUGUAGCGGUAAAAUGCGUAGAUAUAUGGAGGAACACCGGUGGCGAAGGCGGCUGCCUGGACAGAGACUGACGCUGAGGCACGAAAGCGUGGGGAGCAAAUAGGAUUAGAUACCCUAGUAGUCCACGCUGUAAACGAUGAAUGCUUGGUAUCGGGGCAACCCGGUGCCGAAACUAACGCGCUAAGCAUUCCGCCUGUGGAGUAUGCACGCAAGUGUGAAACAUAAAGGAAUUGACGGGGGCCCGCACAAGCGGUGGAGUAUGUGGUUUAAUUCGACGCAACGCGAAGAACCUUACCAGGCCUUGACAUCCCUUGCAAAGCUGUAGAGAUACAGUAGAGGUUAUCAAGGUGACAGGUGGUGCAUGGUUGUCGUCAGCUCGUGUCGUGAGAUGUUGGGUUAAGUCCCGCAACGAGCGCAACCCUUGUCUUCAGUUACCAAUAUCAAGUUAGGGACUCUGGAGAGACUGCCGGUGAUAAACCGGAGGAAGGUGGGGAUGACGUCAAAUCAUCAUGCCCCUUAUGGCCUGGGCUACACACGUACUACAAUGGCUGUUACAACGUGAAGCAACACUGUGAAGUGAAGCGGAACACUGAAAGACAGUCUCAGUUCGGAUUGAAGUCUGCAACCCGACUUCAUGAAGCUGGAAUCGCUAGUAAUCGAGGAUCAGCAUGCCGCGGUGAAUACGUUCUCGGGC